rnacentral:rRNA from 1 species
UACGGAGGAUGCAAGCGUUAUCCGGAAUGAUUGGGCGUAAAGGGUCCGCAGGUGGCAAUGUGUGUCUGCUGUGAAAGAAUGAGGCUUAACCUCAUCAAGGCAGUGGAAACUACAUAGCUAGAGUCCGGUCGGGGUAGAAGGAAUUCCUGGUGUAGCGGUGAAAUGCGUAGAGAUCAGGAAGAACACCGGUGGCGAAAGCGUUCUGCUAGACCUGUACUGACACUGAGGGACGAAAGCUAGGGGAGCGAAUGGG